UCUAAGUAACUAAGUAAAAAAUCAAACGAGAUACCGUAACUAGUGGCGAGCGAAAACGGUAACUAGGCUUAACAAAACUUUUUUUGUACUUCAAUUAAUAAAGCCAUAGAAGGUAAACCUAAAAAUAGCCCUGUAAUAUUUAAGUGAACAAGUUUGUUAAAAUUAAGUCAAAUGACACAAGUUGUGUGUUAUUUAAAUAAUGGGGGACCACCCUCAAAGCCUAAAAUUUUUAAUGAUUUAUAGAGAAAAAGUACUGUGAAGGAAAG
rnacentral:rRNA from 1 species